rnacentral:rRNA from 1 species
UACGGGGGGAGCAAGCGUUGUUCGGAUUUGCUGGGCGUAAAGGGCGCGUAGGCGGUCAGCACAAGUCAGUUGUGAAAUCUCCGGGCUUAACUCGGAAAGGUCAACUGAUACUGUGCGACUAGAGUGCAGAAGGGGCAACUGGAAUUCUCGGUGUAGCGGUGAAAUGCGUAGAGAUCUGGAGGACCACCAAAGGCGAAGGCAGUGUCCUGGGAGGCACCUGACGCUCAGGCGCGAAAGCCAGGGGAGCGAACGGG